UGCCGCUUCGCGCGCGGCCCCUGUCCCGCGUGCUGGUGGUGGGUGUGUGGGGAAGUGGGGCGGGCGGUGUGGGUGUUUUACACCCGCGCAUGCGCCCGCGGGUGGCGGAGAGGUGCCGGCUGAAUACGUUCUGAUAGGGCCGCACCGUGUUUUGGCAUCAGGCGCGGCUGGUUUGACGGGUUGGGAUGCGAGCAGCGGUGUCCGGCACCAGAGCCAGCGUGCUUGUCCGCUGCAGCCGCCGAGGCAAAGCAGGGCGACGCGGCUGCUUGUACGUAUUACUCCUUCCCCGCGUCGCUACUUAGUGUUCUUACUUGAUUUUUGUUAUUUAGGAGGUUGUCAGAGGGCUUUGGUGUAAUUUUUGGUAGCUUGGUAGAGCUUAUGUUAGAAACCUAGAUAAAAAAUCGCUAUGUGCUUCAUUUAUUUCUCUUAAAACAGUAUUUUUAAUAGGACUAGGUAUAAAAUCAGAUAUUGUUUGGAGUUCUGUAUAAACUCAAGUAUAUUUUCAUACGUACUGCACGGUAUUUGAAGAAACUUUAUAUAUUAGCAACGAACAAUGCUUCCAAAACUGAGAACAAGCACAGGUGCGUCGUCACCUUAACAGGUGUGCAAUUGUAUUGGGUAUUGUCAGGCUCUGUUAUUCUGCUUUUCCAGAAAGGUGUGUAUUGGCAAAAAUGCAGAAAAAUUGUAGUUCUCAUAAUAGUAAAAAUGUCUUGGAUUAUUGCAUUCCUUCUAGUGAUCGUAGAAUUUUUCACCUUUAAACGUGUAGAAUUUAUUAUUUAGAUGUGAACAUUUUUAAUUCAUUUUAGGGUUUUUUUUACAUUAACUGAAAAUUAAUGACUUAACUAAGGUAAGUUAGACUUACUGCUUCCAUCAUUUUAAAACACUAUAUUCAGCAAGAAAAUUCUAUCUUUGUUAUCAAAGAAAGAGUAGCAAUGUUACAAACCAGCUAUUUUUUAAUGUAGAUUCGUAGUGCAUCGAUAGUGUGCCCAAAGCACACUGCAGUAUGGCUAUGGAUGAUGAAACAAAACAAUUUCUGUCUAGUAGCAAGAUUGUGUGUGCCCUUUUACAACCCUGCUUUAGAAUUGUGGCAAGCUAAAACACAACCUUAUAUGUUUAACAAAAUUGCCAUCUUUUAUUUAUGGUUGAUCAGUCUGAAGGAUGAUGCAUUUUUGUAGCCCUUGAUUUGCUAAUUUUUAACCCGUGAGUGAAGGCUCUUUUUUAACCCUGAGAAAACUUGCUGUGGAAUUCUUCAAUUUGAUUAAGGGCAUCUGUCAGAUGGCAAGCGUUCGCCUUAAAAUUAGGUGAACUUGGAUAACAUUAGGAUAAUUGUUCCGGACUGCUGAUUCUCACAGUAAAAAUAGCAUAUGGAGACUUUUUUCAAGACAUUUGGUGCAGCUGUUUCCAUACCACUUCAUUAUUGCUUUCCGCACAUAAAGUGCUUCCAGCACUUGAAUAUGAGUGGAUAAUAUAAGGUAAAGCAAUACCAGCACAAGUUGUUGUGCAGUAGCUGUCAGUUGUCCUACCUACUAAUAGCAGUACUGUAGUGUAUCCUAAGCUAUUUUGCACUUAUUUACUGGAGAAUGAGAUGGUGCACAACAGCAGUUAUUGAGGAAUCACUCAUGCAGUGCAAUGCAAAAUUCAAGCUCUCAAUUGCUUUGUGUUAAUCUGAAUUAUUUUCUCAGUCUGAAGAGUAUAGAAAUAGAGGCAAAGCCAUGUGCUGAAGCUGACCAUGUAAUUAGGCAUAAAUGACUUAAGGAAAAUUGUCAUCCAUGGUUUUUCCAUAAAUACUUCAAGAUUCUGAAUUAAAUCAUUGGAAACUACCCUUGGACAAGCUGAGUGUUUUAGCAAAAUGUAGAUAACUCACCAUUAGUUAAAACUAAUUUAUUAUUUAAAUAAGCAAAUCAGCAUGGUAUCUUUCUUCAUCAAGUAUACAGUAAAAACAAAAAAGCUACCAAAAGCCUCUUUCGGCACACCUCACGUUAAUUCUCUCUUCCUUCACCUUACCACACUUCUGCAUCCCAGGAAAGGCUAUUUUAAGAGUGCCUGGAAGAUGCAAGUUAAAUUCGUUCUGGUUCAAGAUAGUUCUCAUCAAAACUGGUGUAUCUACAGAGGCACUAGAAAUACUCCUGCACUGUAUUGAACUUGUGACUUUCCCAUGGGGAAAGAAAUUGGGUGGGUGGGAUGCAACACAGGGCUGGGUAAAUAGGUCCUGUGGGUAAGGGAGAGAGUUGAUAUGUUAUUGAUAUUCGGGGCUAGAGGAAUGUUGGUUUGUUUGUUUCAAGGUAACCAGGUCCUGUGGUCCAUGUAAAGUUUUUUAGGUAGCUACCUAACACCCUAACUUCUGUCUGGGCGUAAGCAGAAGUCUAUCUUCAACUCCUGGGUUUUGAUCUAGGUAGCCCUUCUUGUAUCAUGUAACCUGUAGUAUUCUCCAACAGUUUCUCUUUUAAGGUGAAGUUUUAUUGCAUUGAUCUAAUCUUGAAGUAAGAAAAAUUAUGAUAAUGCCAGCGGCAGCCUUUGUAUGUUACAAUAAAGGCCUGCAAUGAUCAUAAAAAGCAAAUUCAAUUACUGUUAUAAUGUUCAUAGCUGAUAGCAUCUUGGGAAAUGGGAGAGCUGAAGGCUGAUGACUACUGGGAAACAUACUCUUUCAGUUAAAGGGUUGUCUAUUACUCCCAGCAUGUCUGUUGACCAAAUCAUAGGCAUAUACAGUUGGAUGUCAUCAGCCUUCUGCAAUGCUGUCCACAACAGAAAGGUACCGAUGUGCUAUACCACUGCUCUUUAGGGAAAGAAGCAAUUCUUCAUCUACCCACUAUGGUCACUCGGAAAAAAAAUACUGUGUUUGCAAUUCGGUAUUGAAUCAUUCAUGGUGUGCAAAAUUGUAGCUGCUGUAACUAAUGCAAAAGUCAGAUAUGGCCACACCAGAUGGACGUAUGACAUUCAGUCAUCUCUGCGAGGUAUAUUAAGAUAAAAUAAGGCUAAAGCUAGACUGAAAAUCUCAAGAACAAAUUACAUAGAAAUUCUGUGAUGUGUCUGACAACAAGAACAUAUUUCUUUUGACAUUAAGUCAAACCAGCAGGUAACUGUUCAAAUAGAAGCCAUAGUAGUGCACCAGUCAAAGUAAUAAGCAGAAGGCAUUGUGUUUGUAUUCCAGAAAAGGAACAUUUCUGAGCACUGUUUGUAAUCUUGGAAGAGAAUGCCUAAAUCUUCUCGAUGCUAAGUGAUUGCUGAAGAAGUGGAAGAUAAAAGGUCUCAAGCACACCUUAGUCUGGAGGGAUUCAGAUUUGUGCUUAAGGUACUUCAGGCUGUACAGCUGUGAAGAAGGAUGUAGUAACCAACAGUAUCAGUCCUGUUAGAACUGGCUAUUCCUCAGGUUGGAAUAAAAGAGACAGAAGAGAUACCUUUGUGAUUCAUCCAAUUACACAAGAGUAGGAGGAGCUGCAUUCACACUGCUCUUGUGAUUGUGUUUUAAUUAUGCAGUCAUUAAGUUGGGAAGAAAAGAAAAAGCUGAGUCAAACAAAAAAGUACUUCCCACCUUUGACCUGAAUCUUGUACCUGGCAGUUCUCUCGAUGAGGCCUGUAUUCCAUAUACUUUAGGUUACCGUGAAAGGAUACUGUUAACACAGAUAGGAUGGAAGGGCCUAAAGUCUGCUUAAUAAAUUAUUAAGCAUUUCGAUUAACUCUCAGUAGUUAAUGAAGGCUUCAGUAUCUCUGUGUUGGGAUUCACUGUAUCUAACUACUAAAUAGUCAUGGUUACGCACAGAAAAGAUGUAAAUCAAUAUGGUCGAGAAUGUAUUGUAUCAGUGUUCCAAGAUUGCGGUAUGUGUAGUUGCCCAGUAGAUAGUAUUUUUAAGUAAAUCAUUUCCAUGGGUAUGUAAUGGCUGUACACGCUAUUUCUUCAUGUACUACUGUGUAGGCUUUUCUCCGGGAAAGAUAGCAUUCUACCAGUGGGGAAGGUGUAUCUCUUUAGAGAGGGUGGUAGCUCUGCUAAGUUCCCAAGAAAUCUCUGUGCAUGAAAACCAAAGUUUAGAUUGGUUUCACUUCUUAUUCAUCUGUAGGGAAUGAAAAUUUAAGUCUGGUAUGCCAGUUUUAUUACAGUGUUGCUGUAAAAUAAAAAUGCAGAGAGAAGGGAGAGAAAAACAAUCUGAGAAAGCAUAGAAAAGAAAAAAAUUAAAAGCAAUUAGAGAGAGGAAACUAAACUAAGGUACUACAUUGUAAACAUAACAUAUGCCCACUUUAUCAUCUCCAUAACAGCACUUAAAUUUAAAAGCUGGGGGAGAAAGCUAAUGAUUCACAGAAUGUACUUGAAUUGUGUAUUUUGAAGGUAUGUUUUACUUCUAAGCUUAUAAACUUCCCUACAUUUUGUAAUUUAUAAACACUUGCAUUCUUUUUGUGCAUUUUACUGUUGGAUUAUGACUAGUCACUAUUCUUCCAAGCUCACUAAAAGAAGCCAAAUAAUCUCUUGAAAUACACCAUGCGUGUUUCUAGUGUUGCUAAUCCUGUGCACAAUCUUACGGCUUUAGUCAGCCUGAUAGGUACUACGCUUUCCAUCUGCAUAGUCACGAAAUUGCUGCCUUAGCUAUACAGCUGCAGGCUUGCAUAGGGUAGAACUUCAAAUGGCUUCUGGUUUGUCCCUUGUGGAGCACUCAUGUAUGGAAACACUGUGGAGGCGAGGCUGUGCCAUGUGUGGCAGAAGUGGGAGUAGCAGUUAAUACGUGUACUGUUAAGUGCUGUGUAACUCUGGAGGCACUGAAUUGACCACUGCUAAAUGUAAUAUCUGUAAUUGGAGUCCUGUUAACAUACAUUCUAGUUUAAAAGACUAGGGUAUCUGGAAAUUAAGACUGUUAAGAGAUCUUAGCUGUUAUUUCAGACACACCUGUUUUGUUCUUUACCUUCUAUCCAAUUUGUGCUAGAUACCUAACCUUAAAACUGUCCAGGAUAACAUUCUGCAUUUUGACUGAUGCAGUCAUCUCAAUUACAGUAGUGCCUUCAGCAGCUUCUUUUUUAUUUGUUACAUAUAACUAAAAAGACAAUUUUGAAAGACGUGUUUCUGUGUAAGAUAUAUAAACAAAAGUAUUUUUGCUUUUCACCAUAAUGAGAAGCAUUUUGCCUUCCCUAUAGGAUUGCAAAAAAAAAAAAAAAAAGAUGUUCAUGUUAGGGAGGUUUGCAGAUUUAUUUUGGCAACCAUGAUGGCGGAGAGCUGGCAGCUAAAGAAACCAGUAUGUUCUGUUUUUCAGGUACAGCAUCCUUUGGUAAAACAUGAUAUAUUGCUUACUGUCUUUCUGUUGAGUGUAGGUUGUCUUUCACGGAAUAUAGUAACCACAUAUAUUGUAAUAUCAUAGGCCCCAGAGCCCAUUUCACAGUUUUCUACUUUUCAGAAGAUAUGAAAUGCUUUGUUUUGAAGUACUUCAAGUUGCGUGGAUGAAACUAAUUUGAAAGUGCAGAGAGUUAUUGCUUGAGCACUUGGGUGUACAUUGAGAACUUCCUCAUAGAAACAGGAAGCAUUCCAAAUUUCAUGCCAUCUUUGUUGGCAUUUGUAGGCUGGUGCAUCAUAAGUCUUCAUCUGUCACUAGAGCUCACAGGAAAGUCAUACCAAUCAGUAAAACAAGACAGUCCCAAAGCUAAAAGGUGAGUAUUUCUGGCUUGUUAGCUCAUCUAGGAACUCUGACUCAUUUUGAGCUACAGUCAUACUAGAUCAUAUGACCUUAUUUAGCUAAUAUUGUUUCUGAUUAUUAUUUAAAAUUAAUCCAUUGCUUGUUUACAGUAAUUCCUUGUUAGAAGUUUAUAAGCACAAUAAAGGAUGGGAUUUGCUUGCUUUUUGGUGUCCGUUUGUAUCUCGAGGAGGUCACUUUUGUCUCUUAGUUCCUAUAUCAGGUAUACCAGCUCUGUGCAGAUGUCUCUUACACCUUUUGGACAUCUGGAGUCACCACUGCAAGUUGUUGAAUGGUCAGCCUAAUCUCACUGUAAGCAUAGAGAAACACUUUUCUAUUAACUACUUUUGGUCUCAGAAUAGUCUAAACAAUAUUCGGGUUCAGGAUUUUGAGCACAGCUGAAUUACUCUGUUGAGAAUACAGUCAUUCCCUAGCUUUGGCUUUCGGAAGUGUGUUCAUAUUUUACAUUCAUGAAGUCGUUAUGUUGGACAGACCACAGAGUAAAGGGGAAUGGGAGUAAGCUGAAGAGUUCACAAUGGUGUAGAGGCAAAAAUGCAUGCAAAAUGGAGUAAUCACCAAGAUUUUUAUAGUCAUCUGAUUUAAAAAAAAAAUCACUGCAGUGAAAUUUGAAGUGUCUAUAAAUUACACUUUACCCUGCUGACAAUCUCCCAAAUUCUCUGAACUUUUUAUUAUUAUUCUUAGUUUGAAAUGUCUAAUGGUUGAUCUCCGAUUGUGACUGAAAUAUAGCAAAGGGAAACAAUGCAUUUUCUGUUUAUUCAAAUGAUUUUUGUACAGAUUCAGUUCACAAGUCUAGGUAUUCCUAUUCAUUUAGAAUAUGAGACGCUUCUAUGUACAUGUUACAACUUUUCCUAUAAUUUAGGUGGCUUUAUAUUAUGGAAUUGUAUCACUCAUAAAUAAAGAUGAUCACUGAAAUGUUAA